rnacentral:lncRNA from 1 species
AUUCCAUCAAAUGUAAUUUAUUUAAAUAACAAUUCAAUUGCAUGUUAAGUAAACCAGUUGUAGCAAUAUAAAAAUACAGAAUUUUGAGAAAAUCUGGCAAAUUAAACCUGUAUCUAAAUGCAGCAUAUUCUGUGAUACUACGGAAUGAAAAAUAAAAUGUGUUGACUUUCAAGUCAGGAUGAUUUAUUUGCACUUAAAAAUAUAAUUUCUAAGAUGACAUCUGUUUUCAAAAACAUCCUAAUGGUAAAAACAGGCUACAGGAAUUGUUGUCAUCAUGUUGAAAUUUUAGAUUUUAUAUUAGCAUUAGCUUAAAAAUCAUAGACAAUAACAUUAACACAAAAUCAGCAAGAGAACACUCAUUGGGAACAGUUUUUAUGUUAAAAAUAUCAGAGGUUUUGAGGUGGGCAGACCACAAGACAGGUUUAUUUUGUAUGUUUUAAGGCAAAGCAAAAUCUCCCAAAUGAAACAUCUACAAAAUACAUUUGCUUUGAGAAUAAAUUUCAGUAAUAAAAAAAUACUUCUCAUUUAUUAAAUAUACAUAUUUGCCUUUACAUUUGAUUUAGCAAUGUGAAUCAAAAAAUGCAAGUGUUCUGUGAACAUCUGCAAAUCAAUAUUUUUAAACACCAAUACAGAAAUGAGUCAGUUUUCAUUCAGGUGUUUGGAUGUUAACAGUCAGCAAAAGAAAAAAAAAAAUAGACUACUUAUGGAAUUUUCCCUAACACAAUAUGAGAAUGCAACAUAUUUUUGAGAAUUAAGUAAUUUUUCUGGACCAUACAUAUCAGUGAAACACAUAUGUUCUCCUUCUGCAAAUAUUAAUUAAAGAGAACCCAACAGUGCUUAAACCAUUAAAUUUAACCAACAGCCUAAGAUUUAAAAUGUUUACCAUAAUCUCUGUUUAUGUAAAUUAUUUUCUUAAAGAAAAAACAAAACACUCUAUAGAACAUAACUGUCUACUUUGAAGAAUAAAUCACUUUGGGGAAAAAAUGUGAAUAAAAGCUGAACUCGGCCAGGCAUGAUGGCUCACGCCUGUAAUCCCAGCACUUUGGGAGGCUGAAGUGGGCGGAUCACCUGAGGUCAGGAGUUCGAGACCAGCCUGACCAACAUGGAGAUACCCUGUCUCUACUAAAAAUACAAAAAUUAGCCGGGUGUGAUGGCACAUGCCUGUAAUCCCAGCUACUUGGGAGCCUGAGGCAGGAGAAUUGCUUGAACCCAGGAGGCAGAGGUUGUGGUAAGCCAAGAUCGUGCCAUUAAACUCCAGCCUGGGCAACAAGAGCAAACUCUGUCUCAGGGAAAAAAAGAAAAAAAAAGGGUGAACUCAUUUAUUAUCCCCAAAAUUGCUACCUGGACGUUUGUCUACAUUAAAAAUAGGAAUGACUUAAAAUGUCUACAUGAUUUCCAAAGCAAAGAGUGUCAUACCUUCAAAUUGAUUAAGACCAUUGUAUUAGUCCAUUCUCACACUGCUAUGAAGAAAUAUCUGAGACUGGAUAAUUUAUUUAAAAAAGAGGUAUAAUUGACUCACAAUUCUGCAUGGCUGAGAAGGCCUCAGGAAACUUAGAAUAAUGGCGGAAGGCAAAGGGAAAGAAAGGCACCUUCUUCUUCACAGGGCGGCAGGAAAGAGAAGUGCUGAGCAAAGGGGGAAAAGCCCCUUAUAAAACCAUCAAAUCUCGUGAGAACUCAAUCACUAUCAUGAGAAUAGCAUGGGGAAAACUGCCCCCAUGAUUCAGUCACCUCCCACUGGGUCCCUCCCAUGUGGGGAUUAUGGGAACUACAAUUCAAUAAGAGAUUUGGGUAGAGACACAACCAAACCAUAUCAACCACACAGCACUUCAAAAUAAUACAAUUCCUUUAAAAAUGAAAUAAUAUUCUUUAUUAUACUUAUUUUUUAUUCAAAGUUUUUGGCUACAAGUCUGCUACACUGAGACCAAUUUAUUUCUUUCCCAAAUGGUGCCCAACAGACUACCAAUAAUUAAAACUAAUUUACUAGAAAAUACUAAGCAGCAAUAAAACUGAAGGUGUCACUGGGAUAUGCCAGCACCCCUUAAAUUUGUUGUUUAAAUUAGUGUUUCUAAAAACUAUGGCAUUAAUAUACAAGGUAUAUUGUAUGUUAAUAUUCAACAAGUUUCACAUAAUGAAGUUUGUUAUUAAAGUGCCUUAAUUUUCCCUAUUAAAUAUCCAAUCUGUAGGCAUUCUUUUCAGUUAAAUACAGUGAGCCAGCUGCUUUGAUUUUUCCAUGUGAUGUCCUGUUACAGUAUUACUGUGCUAAACACAUAUCAUGGGUACAUUGUAAGCAGAAGGGAAUGGGGUGUAGACUUCCUCUGAAGCUAGAUCCACCUAUCUCCUCUGGAUAAUUCAGGCCAAGAACCUGCUCAGCCAUCUCAGUCCACUAAACAGUCCUUGCAUCAUUUCUUUCUGCAGUUAUGAAGUUACAAAAUGACUAGAAUGGACUUCAACAGUCCUCUAAGAGGACAGUCUGUCAAGAUCAGAUAGCAGCUGCUCAACAUAAAAGAUAUCUUCCCUGAUGAUAAAUUCUGAUGUGUCCUUUUCAUUACAUUUCAAGUUCAACAUUUCAAAAUAACUAAAUCUAACAGCAAAUGUGUAAAAGACAAAACUACCAACAAUAGGCAGCAGAAACAAGCAAUCUAACACUUAAAGACAAAAAUAUGUAAAUAACUGGACUCGGGGAGGAAGGACUAGGAUAAGAAAUCCUGCAUUUCUUUGGAAAGAACUGUAUAAAACAAUGUCUAUUUAUUAUUUGUAAGUAGUUUUGUAUAUAGCUAUCUAUAGAUACAUGUAUCUUAUGAAGAAAUAUCUGAAGAGAUUUAAAAUGUCUUAAUUAUAUAUAUGCAUAUCACUUAGGUAUCAUACACAUUCAAAAAUAAAUUAUUCUCUAAAUGGGUAACAUGUGUCCACAAACCUUUA